rnacentral:lncRNA from 1 species
GGGGGGGGGCCUAACAACCCAGGAUGGUAUAUAAAAAUUUAUCACUAAUGGAGAUUCUAAAUCUUGAAUUUCUAAAGCUGGCCUAUUAUUAGGAUUUAACAGAACACUAUGGUGCAAAAUGUAUAACUUUGUUCUUCCAAUUUGGACAGUGUUACACAAAGGUGAUACAAACCAACAUAGGCAAAGAUUCACAUCAGAUGCUUUACAAAAUAUGUUUUACAAGGAAUGGUGUAAUAUAGUGCCAAGAAUUUCCAGUCAUUUAAAUAAGCUAAAACAAAUACUUGCUUUAGGAGUAUUACAUCCAAUUUAAAAGGUUGUUAGUAUGAGCUGAUCAAUUAUUAUUACAGCAACAAGUUGGUUGCAUCUUUAGCAGAUUGAAGGAUAGGGACAAAAUAGAUGUGGAAGCUAGAUACUUGAUAAUAGGCAACGCAAAGUGUCUAUUUCCAUAGAAGCUGAACUAAAGAAUGCUGCCAAUAGCUCUGUUUACCACAACUACCAAUUCAGGACCCACACAACACUAUAUGAAUACGAGUGACCAGCAUAGGGUCCAUGUACUGAUUUUAAUAUAAAAAUUGAUAAAAGGAAAAAAGACUAAAUGUUCAUCAAAGAAAAUUGGUGAAAUGGUGAAAGAAAAACAGGCAUAGGUCAGUGCCGCAAUUCAGAAUAUGGAGAAAAAGACCUAGAAGCCCCAAUUGGACAAUUUCAUACUAUCAUUGUCAAACAAAUGAACCAUGCGAGUUUGAAGCAUGAAAUAAACAAUUAGCAAGACACAUUUAGAUAUUAAAGGUGCACAUGCAAAUUAUUACAUACUAUUAACAGGAAAAACAAGUAAGAUUAGUUUCUAGAGGUACAAGGAAAAAUGAAAUCACUAACUACUUAAAGCAAAAGUAUAAAAAAUUUACUAGUAGAUGUCCUUCCAAUGGUAAUCCUCAACAUUCAAACUAAAUUUGAAUCAUGCUUUAGUAAUUCUGCAUCAAAGUUGAGUAUGUAUGAUUAAAGGAUUAAAUAUCUUACAGGAACAACUUGUGCUCUGAUUUUCAACUGACAUCCACCUAAAACGCACUAGAAAAAGAUAAACCCGAGCCAUACAAAUAAUAUAAGCUUUAUAGAUGUCAUUAUAAUGGUAAUCCUAAAAAUUCAAACUAAAUCCAAAUCAUCGUGCUUUAUUAAUCCGGCAAACAUACAUAUGAUUGAAUCCUCAAACUUGUGUUUGAAUCUCUAUACACACACAAAAUCUGGUUAAAGGCAAUUGAAACAAGAACCCCCAACAUUUAAACUGCACUAGAAACUUCAAUCUGUACUAGUUAGGCGCCAUAUUAUCGUCACAAAAAGUUCUGUUCUAAAAUCUAAGAGAAAGGGCCCUGAGAGGCACAAUUUGAGUACACAAUGCCCCAAAUUGUCACUGUCUAGAAAAAAGGCCCCCACAGUCACUUCUAAACUCCACUUAAAGUGGCGUUUACUAUAACACAUUAAAAUGGAGCACGCAUUGACGUUUACCAGGAUUUACUUUUGUGCACAUGCAAAACGUAACAAGAAGUCACGUUAGCAAUUUAGUUUAUAAACAAAAAAACUUAGACAUUAACAAUUGUUAUCAUUUUAGGGUUCACAAUUUGUGUUUUUAAAAUGAUUUAUUUAUACUUGAAAUUAAAUCGACUGACGGUUAGGGUUUAGGAUUGAGAGUUUAGGGCCUUUAGGACCUAAAAACUCGAGCCUAAACCCUAAUUAAUGCGAGGCUUCAGGGCCGGGAGGCCCGGAAGCCGAGAAACCGAAACAAGAAAUAUUUUGUGUUUUUUAACAUUUAGGGUUUAGUGUUUCCUUUUGAG